AGCCCGCUACAGAAACUCAAAGGAAGUUCGACGGGGCCCGCACAAGCGGAGGAGCAUGUGGUUUAAUUCGAUGAUACGCGAGGAACCUUACCUGGGCUCGAACGUAAGAUGACUGUAGGUGAAAGCUUACAUCUCUUCGGAGCAUUUUACGAGGUGCUGCAUGGUUGUCGUCAGCUCGUGCCGUGAGGUGUCGGGUUAAGUCCCAUAACGAGCGCAACCCCUACCUUUAGUUGCCAUCAGGUUAAGCUGGGGACUCUAAAGGAACUGCCUACGCAAGUAGUGAGGAAGGCGGGGAUGACGUCAAAUCAGCACGGCCCUUACGUCCAGGGCUACACACGUGCUACAAUGGCCGAUACAGAGGGCAGCUACCUGGUGACAGGAUGCAAAUCUCCAAAGUCGGUCUCAGUUCGGAUCGGAGUCUGCAACCCGACUCCGUGAAGUUGGAUUCGCUAGUAAUCGCGCAUCAGCCAUGGCGCGGUGAAUACGUUCCCGGGCCUU
rnacentral:rRNA from 1 species